UGACUAGUUAGGUUUUCUACAGUACGGU
rnacentral:sRNA from 1 species